rnacentral:rRNA from 1 species
AUGCAAGACUACCCCGCGGACAAUCCUACCUAUCAGCCGCACCUCUUCCGGAGAAGGUAUCGAAUACGCUGAUCCCUCUUCAUAAAAAUAGUGCAAGCUUGUGAGGCCAGUUGUCGGGUUUUUACUCAAAGGAGAAACGCCGCAGGCUUGUUGGGUUUUAGCGCAUAUCAAAAAAUCUCGGCAGCUAUGCGGGUGAUUGCGUAUGGCAUUCCGGCUGACUAUGCCGACGGGUAUCUUCAUAGUGACAAAGAUACUACAUUUGAGUCGGUACGUAGGUCACCAAGGUGA